AUGAACGCUAGCGACAGGCUUAACACAUGCAAGUCGAGGGGCAGCGGGGGUAGCAAUACCCGCCGGCGACCGGCGCACGGGUGAGUAACGCGUAUGCAACUUACCUAUCAGAGGGGAAUAACCCGGCGAAAGUCGGACUAAUACCGCAUGAAGCAGGGGCCCCGCAUGGGGAUAUUUGCUAAAGAUUCAUCGCUGAUAGAUAGGCAUGCGUUCCAUUAGGCAGUUGGCGGGGUAACGGCCCACCAAACCGACGAUGGAUAGGGGUUCUGAGAGGAAGGUCCCCCACAUUGGUACUGAGACACGGACCAAACUCCUACGGGAGGCAGCAGUGAGGAAUAUUGGUCAAUGGGCGUAAGCCUGAACCAGCCAAGUCGCGUGAGGGAUGAAGGUUCUAUGGAUCGUAAACCUCUUUUAUAAGGGAAUAAAGUGCGGGACGUGUCCCGUUUUGUAUGUACCUUAUGAAUAAGGAUCGGCUAACUCCGUGCCAGCAGCCGCGGUAAUACGGAGGAUCCGAGCGUUAUCCGGAUUUAUUGGGUUUAAAGGGUGCGUAGGCGGCCUUUUAAGUCAGCGGUGAAAGUCUGUGGCUCAACCAUAGAAUUGCCGUUGAAACUGGGGGGCUUGAGUAUGUUUGAGGCAGGCGGAAUGCGUGGUGUAGCGGUGAAAUGCUUAGAUAUCACGCAGAACCCCGAUUGCGAAGGCAGCCUGCCAAGCCAUGACUGACGCUGAUGCACGAAAGCGUGGGGAUCAAACAGGAUUAGAUACCCUGGUAGUCCACGCAGUAAACGAUGAUCACUAGCUGUUUGCGAUACAGUGUAAGCGGCACAGCGAAAGCGUUAAGUGAUCCACCUGGGGAGUACGCCGGCAACGGUGAAACUCAAAGGAAUUGACGGGGGCCCGCACAAGCGGAGGAACAUGUGGUUUAAUUCGAUGAUACGCGAGGAACCUUACCCGGGUUUGAACGCAUUCGGACCGAGGUGGAAACACCUUUUCUAGCAAUAGCCGUUUGCGAGGUGCUGCAUGGUUGUCGUCAGCUCGUGCCGUGAGGUGUCGGCUUAAGUGCCAUAACGAGCGCAACCCUUGCCACUAGUUACUAACAGGUAAAGCUGAGGACUCUGGUGGGACUGCCAGCGUAAGCUGCGAGGAAGGCGGGGAUGACGUCAAAUCAGCACGGCCCUUACAUCCGGGGCGACACACGUGUUACAAUGGCGUGGACAAAGGGAAGCCACCUGGCGACAGGGAGCGAAUCCCCAAACCACGUCUCAGUUCGGAUCGGAGUCUGCAACCCGACUCCGUGAAGCUGGAUUCGCUAGUAAUCGCGCAUCAGCCAUGGCGCGGUGAAUACGUUCCCGGGCCUUGUACACACCGCCCGUCAAGCCAUGGGAGCCGGGGGUACCUGAAGUCCGUAACCGCGAGGAUCGGCCUAGGGUAAAACUGGUGACUGGGGCU
rnacentral:rRNA from 1 species